rnacentral:lncRNA from 1 species
GAACUUUGCUGUCACCUGCAAUUCAACAUUGGUCCACUUCUCUGGAGAACCCAGCCCUGCCCAUCCACUAGUGUUCAGCAUCUCACCAUUCUGCCUGGCACCUAAGUGUUUGCUAUAGCUCUGCACCUGGCCCAGAGGGGGAUUAGAUGAAGGGAGAACAUAGGGAGUUCCCAUUGUGGUGCAGUGGAAAUGAAUCUGACUAGGAACCAUGAGGUUUAGGGUUCAAUCCCUGGCCUCAAUCAGUGGGUUAAGGACCCAGUGUUGCCAUGAGCUGUGGCAUAGGCCAGCAGCUGCAGCUCCGAUUUGACCUGUAGCCUGGGAAACCCCAUAUACCUCGGGUGUGGCCCUAAAAAAGCAAAAAAAGAUUAAAUUAAAUUAAAUUAAAAACAAACAAACAAAAAAAGAAAGGUCCCAAAUGAGAGAAUAAAUGAAGUCUGGUCUAGGGAAACACAAGAACUAGGUUCUCACCCUGGUUCUACUGCUUAAUCUACAAUAUCUUGGGUACAAUCUCAUACUGACUUUUUCUUAAACUCACUUUUCUCACCCAUAAAAUGGAAACACUUAUACUUUUCAACAUGUUUCACAAAAUGGUUUGUAAUAAAAUGAUAACAUAAAGGCAACUUCAGAAAGGUUUACAAAUAACCUAAAAGUCUUUAGCAAUUGUCAAAGAAAACAACUUGGUUUUUUUUAAAUGUAUAUAAGUAUAAGCAUAUAUAUUCAUAGACCACCCAUCCCCUGCCCCUGGUAUUUCCCCAGACAAGAUGAGAAUGCUACUCUCAUUUCGCAGAUGGGAAAACUGAACCUAGCAUAGAUUAAUGCUUUAUGUGGCUUAAAUAGCUGGUAUGUUUCAGAGAGACUGGGCCAGAACACAGAUCAGUGUUCCUUCAGUAAAGAUAUUGGGCUACUAAUCAGGUUCUUCGAAGACAUUUAAUACAAAAUAAUCACAUUAUAAGACAGCCUGGCAUGACAGGAAGCUGCACAGCAUAUAUCUUAAGGAUACCUUUAAAGUCAUGUCCCAGAACUUAAAAUUGGGAAAUAGUGAAACUACUCACUAGUUGUCCUUUCUUUUUUUGCCCUAACAUUUCUCUGCUUGUUCAAGUUUUGGCCAUUCUGUCUGUGGCAUGGAUCUACAGAACAGCAAGUGCCAUAACCUUUAGUUCAUGCAUGACUGUCUCCUGUGUCAUUCUGUGGGAUUCAGCCAGGCCUGGCAACACUCACCAGUGGAUGGAAGGAAAGGAGGCAGCAGGGCUUGGACGUAUCUCUGUCCCAAAGGGUCAAACACGAGGGAGGGAGAGGGACCCGGCAGCUGCAGCCACAGUGAAUUCCGGCUUUGUGCAACUGGAGAAGGCUGAGCAGGCAGUUGGGAAGGAAGAGGAACUCAGCAAGCAUGUGAAGCACAGGAGUGGGGCAUUCAAGGUGGAACACCGUGAGCAGUCUGGGACCCCCAGCCAGGAGCCUGUCAGCACUGGGGAUAUUUAUGAUUCUGAUCCCAGGGCUAUGGACUGGAAAGGCCAAAGGAGGCUCCUGAUCUAAGAGGAGGUGGGGACACAGCCAGGUUACUGAGAACAGAUUCAAAUGCAGAAGCCCAGACUCAAGAAGUGGGGCCUGUGAAAGAUGGAGAACACAGGAACAAAUUAGGCACUGCUUAAGGACCUCUAGGUAGGUUGUCUAUAGCUGAGCUGGAGUAAAAAGGCUGCUCUCUGGGGAGAGAAAAAGGAAGACACCAGGCUCCGACUAGAUGAAAGAGGCAGGGGAUGUCAACUGCAGUAGGCAGUGGGAUCACUGACUGCCUCUGCUGCCCCACAGUGAGCAUGGUACCACACACGUCAGAGGCUCUGGGCUGCAGAACAUUCCCUUCCCAUGUGCUGCUCCUGGAGUAGCCCCACGUGUCAUACCACAGAGCUAUUACACAUAAAGGAAAAGGUGGGAAACUCUCUGGUUGAGAUUUUGUUAGUUUGUCUUGGUUCUUAGGGCCAUACAUGUGGCAUGUGGAGGGUCCCAGUCUAUGGGUUGAAUCAGAGCCGCAGCUACCAGCCUACACCACAGCUCAUGGCAACACUCGAUCCUUAAUCUACUGAGAAAGGCCAGGGAUUGAACCCACAUCCUUAUGGAAAACUAGUUGGGUUCGUUACCACUGAGCCACAGUAGGAACUCAUUCUUCUCUUUUUAGGGCCAUACCUGCAGCAUAUGGAAGUUCUAAGCCUAGGGGUCAAGUCAGAGCUGUAGCCACUGGUCUACACCACAGCCACAUCAAUGUCAGAUCUGAGCUGCAUCUGCAACCUAUGCCACAGCUCGUGGAAAUGCUGGAUCCUUAACCAACCCACUAAGCGAGGCCAGGGAUUGAACCUGCAUUCUCGUAGAUACUAGUCAGGUUCUUAACCUAACGAGCCACAAAGGGAACUGGCUUGACAUUUUCAAAAUUCACAAUAUUCUCUGCAAUUGAUUGUUGGCGGACUUCAGUGCUCCCUGGUGCCACCUUGCGCCUGCCACUAGUGCGCUUUCUAGGCAGCCAGCUUUGAUUAAAGCCCAUCGGAGGUGUUUAAAUGUGAGAGAGAAUUAGACAAUAAGAACAGGGGAGGGAAAAGGACCAGUUCUAAUGGAAGUCAGAGUUGGAAGCACAGUGAAAAGGAAAUGGUAGAGAGAAUGCAGAAUGCAGGUUACUCUCCAAAGCACUCUGUGCUAGGAUUGAGUUAUCCUUGCAUAUAAAUCUUCUUGAUGCUGAUCUACAAAAGAACGAAUAAAUGAAUGAAUAGACAAAUGAACAAAUCAGUGAGUGAAUCAAAGAAUCAAUGGGUCGAUAGACAUUUGAUUGAUGAGGAUAGGAAAAUGGCAGUGUACGACUAACGUUACACAGAUAGGUGUAUGAGUGUGUGUGUGUGUGUGUGUGUGUGUGUGUGUGUGUGUGUGUGUGUUAACAAAGUAAUGGGGAAUAACAAACUGCAAAUUGCCUCAGAAACCCUCACCCCUCAAAUGGCAUCAGAUAUGCAUGGCAGCUGCAUCCUCAUAGCCGACAGCUGUCAUGUUCAAGUCUUUCCUUCCCCCAUGGGAUGCAGAGAGAAGAGGGGCCCAAGUUAAAAGACACUCCACUCAACUAGUCCCUUCUCUGACAAGUCCCUUAUGUUUACUCCCUGACACUACAAAAGAAACAGAAUCACAGAGUUUACAACUAAUGCUUUAAUGCAAAUGAAAUCCUGUGCCUUUGAAAUACCAGCUAUCCAGCACUGGCUAAAAUAUUACUUUACACAUGCACUGUACAGUGGAGUGGUGAAACUGUGGCUGUGGAGAGUGGGAUGACCUCCAGCCAACAUAUAGGAGAAUAAUGAUCUUUUCAGAAUGAACAUCAAGUCCUCAACGGAUAAAGGGAGUGAGUGCCAGGUUCACCUAGGGAACUUUGUCAAACUUCACAUGCCCCAGAUGUUCUAACCCUGAUUCUGUUAUUUCCUGCUUGAGACAUAAGCUAUAAGAGGACAAGGAAUUAGAUCUGAAGUUGUUUGAACCCAAAAGAAGGCCUAUUACGCCCUGUGGGCUCAAUACAUAUUUCUUUUUUUUUUUUUUAAUGGCCUCACCUCCAGCAGAUGGAAGUUCCUAGACCAGGGCCUGAAUCCAAGCCAUUGCUGUGACCUCUGCUAUAGCUGCAGCAAUGCCAGAUACCUUAACCCACUGUUCCAGGCUGGGGAUCAAACCCCCACCUCUGCUGUGACCCCAGCUGUUGCAGUCAGAUUCUUAACCCACUGUGAUAUGGCAGGAACUCAAUACAUAUUUCUUGAAUAAAUGGAUAAAUAAGUGAAUUUAGAUGUUUUUGUAAUAUAAUUUGGAAUUUGAAGGGACCUUUGAGCUCAACCAGUAAUCUGUUAUUUAAUGGUAGGAAUUCAGUCCAGAGUCACUUGUCCAAUAUCACACAUCUAACUAAUGGCUCAGCAUGGCAACUGAAAUAGCAGAAUUCAGAGUGGUUAGUAAAAAUGUAAAUUUAGUAGUAAACAUAAUUGUUUUCUACAAAGGGCAAAGCACCAGUUCUGGGAAAUUGGUCAGAUGGUCUGAUGAAGAGAGAGAAAAGACAUGCUAGGACUACAUGUCAAAUGUGGGGGGUACGGGCCAUGGGUAUGUCCUGUCUUUAGGUUCUGUCCUCUCCAUCCUGAAAAGCCCUACUGCCAACCAAGCCUACAAAGCAGAGCAGAUGGACACAGUUUAUUGGGAAGUAUCUCCUGCAGCAGGAGAAAAGGAACCAGUGUCAAAUGCCAAUUCAGUGCUUCAAAGAAGAUUCUGAGAGAGCUGUUCAUUAAUCAGGAAUGAUUUAGAUGAGCUUCCAUUUCAAGACAUACAAUCUCUAUUAGGAUAAGAUUCACCAUCACUAAAACAUCUUUUCCCAAAGUAAUAGCAACGUGUUAUGAACAUGGCUACCAACUUUCAGGGGAAAGCUACUUAUUUCUACUGUCAAGAGCCAAGAAAACAUUCAGCAGAUUUUUACUGGGCAAAUGCCAGCAUAAAAACCACAGCCACUGCUUUCAGGUUAAGUUCUUUUUAAUACUUCACACUCCAGGGACCUAAAACAUAAAUACGUUUGGCUUUGAGUUGCUAGAAAGCAGGUUGUUAUUUUAAACAAACAUACCACCAAAAGUGACACUUUCCACGUGGCCACUAAGACACCAACUAGAGAGGAUACUAAUGAGGUACAAUCACCUUCUUAGACUGUGCUCUGGUGCUUAAGGAGCUCUCAGGAACCACUGCUGUGGAGGGAGUGCAAAUUUGCCAAGCCAAUGGCCUAGUCCUUCUGUUACCCUUUUGAUAGUAAGGGUCCCUUAUGAAACUGGGCUCUGUGAAGCACUUACAUCAUGUUUUAGGAUGCUACUCAUCCACCCAAAUGAUUUAAACUGAAAUCAAUUGUUGCCAUAUGAAAUAUUUUAAAAAUAUGACUGUAAUUCUGAUCAAAAAAAAAAAAGUUUAGGGAGGCAUGUUCUUGGUCAUUUUAUUUCCAAAAAUAUCACUUGCAUGUGGCAACAAGUGAGCACACAGUCUGUGUUAUCUGUGCCUACAACCACUUGCACUGUUCUUCAUCUUUGAAGCCAGCUGUUGAAGGGCAUUCAUCCCAAGGUCACUCGACCUCCAAAGAGGAUCGUUUGACAAUGGUACACAAAGUCAUUUGCAGAUGGAAGAUAAGGGUCUUUGCAACUGUGUGUGGCCUGCAUGGUUACACAAUGUCAGUGAGACGAGAGAGGUGUUACCAGAAGAGCAAGGACUUCUUUAUUUCUG